rnacentral:rRNA from 1 species
GAUGAACGCUGGCUACAGGCUUAACACAUGCAAGUCGAGGGGAAACGACGGGGAAGCUUGCUUCCCCGGGCGUCGACCGGCGCACGGGUGAGUAACGCGUAUCCAACCUGCCUCUGACUGAGGGAUAACCCGUCGAAAGUCGGCCUAAUACCUCAUGGCAUCGUCUGCGGGCAUCCAACGACGAUUAAAGAUUUCAUCGGUCAGGGAUGGGGAUGCGUCUGAUUAGCUUGUUGGCGGGGUAACGGCCCACCAAGGCUACGAUCAGUAGGGGUUCUGAGAGGAAGGUCCCCCACAUUGGAACUGAGACACGGUCCAAACUCCUACGGGAGGCAGCAGUGAGGAAUAUUGGUCAAUGGGCGGGAGCCUGAACCAGCCAAGUAGCGUGCAGGAUGACGGCCCUAUGGGUUGUAAACUGCUUUUAUGCGGGGAUAAAGUGAGGGACGUGUCCUUCAUUGCAGGUACCGCAUGAAUAAGGACCGGCUAAUUCCGU